rnacentral:rRNA from 1 species
GACAGAGGUGCCAAGCGUUAGGCGGAAUCACUGGGCUUAAAGCGUGUGUAGGCGGGUCGUUAAGUACCUUGUGAAAUCCCCCCGGCUCAACCGGGGAACGGCUGGGUAUACUGGCGAUCUUGAGCCACCUAGGGGCAGUCGGAACAAGUGGUGGAGCGGUGAAAUGCGUAGAUAUCACUUGGAACGCCAAUGGUGAAAACAGACUGCUGGGGGUGUGCUGACGCUGAGACACGAAAGCCAGGGGAGCAAACGGG